rnacentral:rRNA from 1 species
GGAUUGAAGUCUGUAACUCGACUUCAUGAAGUCGGAAUCGCUAGUAAUCGUAGAUCAGCUACGCUACGGUGAAUACGUUCUCGGGUUUUGUACACACCGCCCGUCGCACCAUGUGAGUUGGUAAUGCCCAAAGUCGGUGAGUUAACUUCGGAGACCAUUGCCUAAGGCAGGACUGAUGACUGGGGUAAAGUCGUAACAAGGUAUCCCUACGAGAACGUGGGGAUGGAACACCUCCUUUCUACGGA